GACGAACGCUGGCGGCGUGCCUAAUACAUGCCAGUAGAACGCUGAAGAGAGGAGCUUGCUCUUCUUGGAUGAGUUGCGAACGGGUGAGUAACGCGUAGGUAACCUGCCUUGUAGCGGGGGAUAACUAUUGGAAACGAUAGUUAAUACCGCAUAACAAUGGAUGACCCAUGUCAUUUAUUUGAAAGGGGCAAAUGCUCCACUACAAGAUGGACCUGCGUUGUAUUAGCUAGUAGGUGAGGUAACGGCUCACCUAGGCGACGAUACAUAGCCGACCUGAGAGGGUGAUCGGCCACACUGGGACUGAGACACGGCCCAGACUCCUACGGGAGGCAGCAGUAGGGAAUCUUCGGCAAUGGGGGCAACCCUGACCGAGCAACGCCGCGUGAGUGAAGAAGGUUUUCGGAUCGUAAAGCUCUGUUGUAAGUCAAGAACGAGUGUGAGAGUGGAAAGUUCACACUGUGACGGUAGCUUACCAGAAAGGGACGGCUAACUACGUG
rnacentral:rRNA from 1 species